AAACAAAACAUGAUCGAAGCGGCCAGAUGUGCGAACGUCGUUUUAGUGUUGCAUUACAACUAAGCGCCUUAGAAAAACGUCUUGGAAAGUAAAGUUAUACGUAAAACAAUUCAUUGUAUAAAAAUGUCUCACUUUCGCUAUAAAAAAAUUGAGGGAAUAAGCUUAAACGCCGGUUGAUGAUCGGGAUUGGAUAAUGGCACAGCUGUGUACCAAAAAAGAUCUGUUAGCAGGUAAAUAUAGAUUUCCAACCAAAAUGGUUUCAACUUGGCCCAAUGCAGGAGCCUCAAAGGUAUUUGAUUAGUCUACAAAGAAAAUGAAUUAAUGUCUGCUUCUUAAAUCUUUUGGAAGUUGUAAACAGUGGAAUUCUGCUCAUCGUUUGACUUAAAUUCAAGUCUACUAAGGUGUCAUAACUGAAAUGAAGCUUGAAAGCUACAGACGGUGGAAUGCUGACCUGUUAUCUGCAGUUAAUAAUCCAUCUGCUGCAUCUUAAAAUUGGUUAAGAUCAUGUAAAUGAAAAAAAAGCUAUAUCAAAAAUUUUAAAAAGAAAAUAUGCUAGGAACUCUUGAAAAAGUAUUCUUGGUGAAAAAGUGGAAAUUCUUGGAGAUAGCAACACUUAUCUGUGGAUAAAUUAGGCAAUACAGUUAAUGAGAAUUUAUCUAAGAAGAAACAAACAAUCAAGGAGGCAAGUUGAAUGAUGCUGGCAAUUCUUUCUAUAACGACAACUUACUGCCUCGUAUGGAGAUGAGUGAAAAAUAUCUGUUACGAAAAUAACGAACGCGUUACGACCUAAAAUGCUUUUCUUCUUAACAUUUGGUUAACCUGAACGUAAAUUCAAAUUUUGGCAAAAUUAAAGUAAAUGGCCAAUCAUCUUGCUGAUGAAAUUUUCCUAUCUUGGGAGUUAAAACUGGUUAUUAAGGAAGUUGGAUACGAUGCCAUAGCUGACGUCAUGAUAAAGGGAAUAUGUCAAAAAGCAAUUUAGAUACGAUGCCGAAGCAAACGUCAUGGCAACAGGGAGGAUUUGAAAAGCAAGUCUGUCAGCUAAAAGAUGGCUUUGAAAUCCUUAGCUUCUGAACAAUUUACACUAUAAAAUUUUUCUUUAUAUUUGUUUACAAGUUUUAAACAUAUUUACACAAGAGCGUGUAGAGCAACCGAAAAUUUUGAUCGCUAUGGGAAAUCAUCCAUUUAAAGCGUUCUUCUUACACGUUGACCAAACUUCCCCGUGGAAAAUAUUGAUCCAAUAACGCUAUUGCCGUUGGUGGCUUGAUCGAUUUCUGUGUGGAAGACUCGGUGGUGACUAUUGUACAAGAUUUUAUAAUCGUAAUGAAUCGGCAGAGAAUAUUGAUGGAGGUCACGUGUAAACAGAGACUGAAAUUCGUUGGAGGGGGAUUGCGAUUCUUUUAUUUUCUCACGUGUAUGGUAUUUUUACAAAAAAGAAAUUAAGUGCAUAUCUGGGCUCCCUUCUUUUCUGUCGCCCCGUUUCCCCUUGAAUUGUAAUAAGCCCGUAGGGGGUCAUGCCCCUACUGUGAUCAGCAGUAAAGGUUGUGAGUGCGCUGUCCGGAAAGGGGACGUGGGGGUCCUCAAGUUCUGAGAUAUCAUUGGAGGGCGAAGAGGCUACCCACAAAUCCGAAUUAACGGUUAAUCGCUCACGUAAAAACUUGUCCGAAACCUUCCAUCCUUUUCCGGCUUCUCUUAGCCACGCCCCGGGUAAUCUCCCCGGGGGCUCAAUUCAGUUAAAUUUGUUGUACAUGUAUGUUGUACCAACAAUAAAAAAAAUGGAAAAAAAAAAUAAACAAUAUUUUAUUUUUGCCAAAA
rnacentral:lncRNA from 1 species